GCGGCCGUGGUCUAGUCUGGCUUAAGACUCGGGCCCUCCAACUACCGGCGGAAAGCCCGAUACGCGGGUUCGAAUCCCGCCGGCCGCA
rnacentral:tRNA from 1 species